GGAGCCUGAGAAUCGGCUUCCACUUCUAAGGCNGGCAGCAGGCGCNNNNCUUACCCAAUGAAAACNGCUUCGAGGUAGUGACGAGAAAUAACAAUACAGGGCAUUUUAUGCUUUGUAAUUGGAAUGAUGGGAAUGUAAACCCUUCCAGAGUNAC
rnacentral:rRNA from 1 species